rnacentral:ncRNA from 1 species
CUAAGUGAAAACAAAGAGAACUAGUAUUUGUAGCUCUGAUUUCCAGAGAGUUUGCGGUGGUGCGAGCAAACAAUCAUCUAUAAAGAAUCCAUCUCUUACCUAUGUGUCUGAUGAAAUAAGUCAGAUCGGUAGCAGCCGUUAUCUGCUUAAUCAAGGGCAGCCAAAUUGGCUGAACUUGGGUGGCAACGCGAAAUCCUCGUCAUUUCGUCCCAAGA